AACGAACGCUGGCGGCGUGCCAAACGCAUGCAAGUCGAACGAAGCCUUCGGGCUUAGUGGCGCACGGGUGCGUAACGCGUGGGAAUCUGCCCUUGGGUUCGGGAUAACAGUUAGAAAUGACUGCUAAUACCGGAUGAUGUCUUCGGACCAAAGAUUUAUCGCCCAAGGAUGAGCCCGCGUCGGAUUAGCUAGUUGGUGAGGUAAAGGCUCACCAAGGCGACGAUCCGUAGCUGGUCUGAGAGGAUGAUCAGCCACACUGGGACUGAGACACGGCCCAGACUCCUACGGGAGGCAGCAGUGGGGAAUAUUGGACAAUGGGCGAAAGCCUGAUCCAGCAAUGCCGCGUGAGUGAUGAUGGCCUUAGGGUUGUAAAGCUCUUUACCCGGGAUGAUAAUGACAGUACCGGGAGAAUAAGCCCCGGCUAACUCCGUGCCAGCAGCCGCCGUAAAAC
rnacentral:rRNA from 1 species